rnacentral:lncRNA from 1 species
UUGGGGUACGUUUCCAACUACGCAUUUUCGAAGCUACGAGCCGACUUAGGGUGGCGGGUAAUGCUUGGCGCCGGUGCUAUUCCGUCGGUUUUCUUGGCUAUUGGGGUUCUUGCAAUGCCUGAGUCACCUCGUUGGCUGAUUAUGCAAGGUCGAUUAGGUGAAGCCAAGACGGUUCUCGACAAAACUUCAGACACCAAAGAAGAAGCUCGUGGUCGACUCAGUGACAUCAAAGCUGCCGCCGGAAUCCCAGAAGAUUGCACCGAUGACAUUGUCCAGGUCCAAAAGCAGACCCAUGGCGAAGGUGUGUGGAAAGAAUUAUUUUUACACCCUACACCAGUUGUUAGGCACGUGUUGAUUUGCGCCAUCGGGAUCCAUUUCUUCCAACAAGCUAUAGGCUUAGACUCUGUCGUGUUAUAUAGUCCCAGGAUCUUUGAAAAAGCUGGGAUCACAUCGUCAGACCAUAAGCUACUUGCCACCAUCGCCAUUGGACUUUCCAAGACGAUCUUCAUCUUAGUGGCGACAUUUUUACUUGACAAAAUCGGGCGACGUCCGUUGCUCCUCAUCAGUUCUGGUGGCAUGGUCGUUAUAUUGGCUACACUCGGAUUUUCAUUAACGAUCAUCGGUCAUUCGGACAACAAAAUAACUUGGGCUGUCGGAUUGUGCAUCACCAUGGUUUUAUCUUCUGUGGCAGUUUUCUCGAUAGGGAUGGGACCCAUUGCGUGGGUGUAUAGCACGGAGAUCUUCCCCUUGAGGCUACGCGCUCAGGGAGCGAGUAUAGGAGUGGCGGUUAACAGGGUGACCAGUGGUGUAAUCUCGAUGAGUUUUAUUUCAUUAUACGAAGCUAUUACCAUCGGCGGAGCAUUUUUCUUAUACGCCGGGGUUGCGUUGGUGGCGUUUUUCUUUUUCUUCACUUUCUUGCCAGAGACUCAAGGGAAAACACUUGAGGAAAUGGAAUGGCUUUUUGGUAAAUUGGUGGGAUGGAGGGAGGAGGCUCAAAAGUUGAAGAGAAAAAGGAAGAUGAAUGAAGCUAACCAUCAGAUCCAGUUAGGCAAUAAUUUAACUACAGAUCGCCGAUGUUAGGAAAUAAAUUGUAGCUUAUGAAUCAACUUCGCUCAAUCCAAUCACUCUAAAUUGUGCAUUUUAAAAUAUGGAUUUCAUGAAAUAUUAGGUAAAAUUAUGCAAUUAGCCCCUGUAAUUUGUGUAAAUUGUAGAUUUAGAUCUCUAUGUUUUAAUCUGAUUAGUUUUAGUUAUUCUACUUUUCGAAUUUUGAAGUUUUAGUCCUAAGGCAGUAGCUAAAUUUAUUCGGUUAAAUUCUACUAUUAGUCUUAUACUAUCUUUAAAGUUGAAGAUUUAGUCCACUUGAAUUCUGGAAGUUUGAUCUUGAUUGAUGCAAAUGGUAAUCAUUAAGUCCAUUAACAGAUUUUUUGUGAACAAUAUGUGGAAACAGUAAGCUGACAUGAUAUUUCAAAUGGAACAAUACGUUUGCCGCAUUAAAUUCUGAAAAUAACAGAGCUUAGCUUAAAUAAUUUAAUAGCUACCAGUUAGUUAAGACUACAAUUUUAAAAUUCAAAAAGUACAUAAACCGAAAAUGAUCAAAUUAAAGUAUACGAACUAAAUCCACAAUUUUCACAUAAUACAGGGACAUAUGGCACAAUUUAACCUAAAUAUUAUGACUACAAUUAUGAAAAAGGAAGAAAAUAAAUAAAUAAAUUUAAGAUAAUAUGGAAGAGUGGACAGUGUUCCAUCGUAUAUAUGGUCCACCUUGAUGUUAACUCCUUUUUUGUUCUAUUUAAAGACAACAAUGGCUUCUUCAAAAGCAAACUUAUGGAGAUUCAUGGCUGCCACCAUAGCUUGAAUCUCUAAUACUUACAACAUUAAAGAAAAAAAAAACAUGUCUGGGUUUGAAGCAGACAACCAUGGCGUCUCCAUUUCAGUUGCAGUCGACAAUAAAACUCUUGCAGAUUUUGAGGUUUUGAAGAAACCUAAAAGGAACAAGUUCGCUUUUGCUUGUGCCAUUCUUGCUUCUUUAGCUUCUAUCUUGCUUGGAUAUGGUGAGUUGUUUUCUUUUUCCCGCCAGGUAGACUAACAACCAAUUUCACUAUUAUUACGUUUUGGCCACUUAACUUCAAAAAAUUACAAAAUGGUUAUUAAAUGAUUUGAAAGUUGUUAAAUAUUUUUUUCAAAAAAAUAAGUGAUAAUUCAACGGUCGGUACAGUGGAUCAAUAUCCAUUGGCAAGUAGGAGGACAUACCUUAGAUUCAAUUCGAUCUGACAGUCAGUGGUAGAGAUUAAAGAAUAAAGUUUAAUUUAUUCUCAGUACCCCCUAUACUUUCUAGUCCUUGAAAUUUAGUCUGAUCUUUGCCUUUAAUUUCAAAUAUUUAAUCUUUGGUCUGAUUCUAAAUUUCAUCCUUAUACCAAAGAGAAGUUUAGAUCAUAUACUUUAAUUUGUUAAAAUUUGAUCAUUUUACUAUAUGAAAAUUAAGAAAUUAAUCAAAUUAUUGAUAAACAUAUGAACUUAAACAAUUACUACUUUUUGCUAAUUUGUUGAAUAAAAAUGAUUUUUUUGUUAAUUUCUUGCGUAUAGAUUGUUGAACUGUUGAUUUUUAGGACAACGAUUUAAUAAAAAUGUCUAACAACAUUGGACAAACUUUUAAAUUUUUGUAAAGUAUAAGGAUCAAAUUAUUACAAAAUUAAAGUAAUGGAUUAUGUUCUCAAAUUUCAUAAAGUAGAGGGAUUAAAUUCAGAAAUAAACCUUAAUAUUUUUACCAUGUUUGAUUUAAAAAUUAAAAUUUCAUUUCAUAAUAAUGUUAAUAAACUGCCGUUGGAUUUUUAAUAUGUAAUAUUUAAAUAUUAAUUAAUAAAACAUAUUUAAAUUUUAAAAAAAUCACUUAAAAGUGUUAUUAAAUUAACUUUAAUUUCUAAAUCAGAUAAUUUGAAUGAUUAAAUUGCUAAAAUUGAAAGUAUAGGGGCUAGAUUUUAUAGUAAAGAGUACAGGGACUGAUGGUAUAAUUAGACUCUUUCUUUUUGCAUAGAUAUUGGGGUGAUGAGUGGGGCUAUUCUUUACAUAAAAGACGACCUGAAAAUUAGCGACGUUCAAGUUGAAAUCCUCGUCGGAAUUCUAAACUUGUAUUGUCUCAUCGGAGCAUACGUCGCCGGUAGGACUUCCGACUGGAUAGGUCGCCGUUACACCAUCGUCGUGGCCGCCUCCAUCUUCUUCGUGGGAGCUUUGCUCAUGGGGUUCGCAACGAACUACACUUUCCUCAUGGUCGGCCGCUUCGUCACCGGAAUUGGUGUCGGCUUUGCCUUAUUGAUUGCUCCGGUGUACACCGCCGAAGUAUCUCCGGCUUCCGCUCGCGGCUUUCUCAACUCAUUCCCUGAGGUCCCAUAUCCACUGAAUUUUUUUUAAUUUUAAUUUUUAUAUUAUCUUAAUAUAAAAUUAUAAUUAAUAGGCACAUUUAAAAAUAAAUAAAUUAACUCAUUGAUUUUUGACUGUCAACGUCAAUCAAAUGACUUAUUUAAUCUUUUUUUUUAAUUUCAAGACUUAUAAUAACAUCAAACCUAAUUAAUAUGUAAUUUAAUUAAAUAUCAAAGAUAAUCGAAUCAACCCAAACCGAAUUUAAUGGGUUUGAAUUUGUUCGGUUUAUUAGUUUUUAAAAAUUUUAAAAAUUAAUUUUUAUUUAUCAUUAAAACUAAUUUUCAUUAAUUUAAAUGGAAAAUAUUUAUUUUGAUUUAUUUUAAAAAUAAUGAAUAUUAAAUGGAACUCAAGAACUAUGAUUUCGUGACAGUGACAAGGAAUAUUAAGUGAGUGAAAUGUGAUGUAUUUGUCGAACUUUUCUUUUGAAGGUUUUCAUUAAUGCUGGUUUAUUGUUGGGGUAUGUUUCCAACUAUGCAUUUUCGAAGCUGCGAGCCGACUUAGGGUGGCGGGUAAUGCUUGGUGCCGGCGCUAUUCUGUCGGUUUUCUUGGCUGUUGGGGUUCUUGCAAUGCCUGAGUCACCUCGUUGGCUGAUUAUGCAAGGUCGAUUAGGUGAAGCUAAGACAGUUCUCGACAAAACUUCAGACACCAAAGAAGAAGCUCGUGGUCGACUCAGUGACAUCAAAGCUGCCGCCGGAAUCCCAGAAGAUUGCACCGAUGGCAUUGU